ACAAGGUGUAGAGUUGUAAAUUAGAUCUCUCUCUUUUAGUUAUAUAAUGUGCUACGGCUGUGCUGUCAGUUGUGUUUUGUAUUUAUGCCUACUUUUUUGUUUUUUUGUCCC